AUACCAUGGUGAUGACACUUUCGUAAUAACUUCUUGAACCACUCUCAUGCCUCAUAUAAAGAUUCUUCGUCAAGUUAUUAAAAUGAAGUGAUUUCAUUUUGGAGCUU
rfam:Gossypium arboreum cultivar AKA8401 contig_66446_1, whole genome shotgun sequence.